UGCUGAGUUUGGCUUUCCUUUCGGCACCAAGAACCGAUGGGUCUGGUCCUUCUGGGCCUGGAACUACUAACUAGGCGUAUUACCAUGAGCAAUGCUCAGUGUUUAACGUAGGUUUUUCACCUUGAACGUGUUAGCAUGGAAUAAUGAAAUAGGACCCUUGGGCUAUUUCCUUGGUUUUGAGACCCGAAGUAAUGAGAAAGAGGGGGGGUCCGGGGCUUUUGUAUUUUGGGGCUAGAGGUGAAUUUCUUGGAUAGCCGGGAGACAAACUAAUGCGAAAGCAUUUGACCCAGGACAUCUCCUUGAUCAAGAGGUAAAGUUGAGGGAUCGAAGACGAUUAGAUACCGUCGUAGUCUUAACCACCAACGAUGCCGACUAGAAAUCGGGCUUGACUAUUGAGGCUUGCUGGGGAUCUUAGAGAAACCAAAGUUCACGGGUUCAGGGGGGAGUACGGCUGGCAUGGCUGAAACGUAAAGUAAUUGACGGAAGGGCACCACCAGGAGUGGAGCGGGCGGCUUAAUUUGACUAACCACGGGGAAACUCACCAGGUCCAGACAUACGGAGGAUUGACAGAUUGAAAGCUCGUUUUAGAUGGUAUGGGUGGUGGUGCAUGUCCGUUCUUAGUUCGUGGAGUGAUUUGUCUGGUUAAUUCCGAUAACGAACGAGACCUUAUUAUGCUAAAUAGACCGACUCCCUUUUUAUAGGGGGGAAGGCAUCGGUCUUUGCCGUCUUCUAGAGAGACUAUCG
rnacentral:rRNA from 1 species